rnacentral:rRNA from 1 species
UACGUAGGGUGCGAGCGUUGUCUGGAAUUAUUGGGCGUAAAGAGCUUGUAGGUGGUUUGUCGCGUCUGCUGUGAAAAUCCGAGGCUCAACCUCGGACUUGCAGUGGGUACGGGCAGACUAGAGUGUGGUAGGGGAGACUGGAAUUCCUGGUGUAGCGGUGGAAUGCGCAGAUAUCAGGAGGAACACCGAUGGCGAAGGCAGGUCUCUGGGCCAUUACUGACACUGAGAAGCGAAAGCAUGGGGGAGCGAACAGG